AAUGGAUCGUUCAUUUUUAUGUUUUAAAGUUCUGUAUUCAUAUGUUAAGUGUAUAUCUGGAUGGAAUUGAACCGGCUUUCUUCUGGUUCCUAACAUGGAGAACCUAGUAAACCAAAGGCCAAGCUGAGUGAUGCCAAGCUUCAGUGUAAAACUUUGAGCAGGUGCCAGGUAAUUUGCAUUUACAAAUCCAAACAUUUUAAAACUUGAGUUGGACAACAUUGUCAUGUUAAUUAUGCCCCACGACACCAGCUUGUCUGGCAAAACAGCCGUUAGAUGUCAUAGUAAUCUAAACUAGAUACAUGUAUGAAAAAAAUGAUUAUUUAAAAAAUAAUCCAGGUCGGUCAGUUUAUAUGUUUGUAAUAAUUUAAGGAACAAACACCCAAGUCAAGGCAAAAAACAAAUACAAACAUAUUGAUAACAAUUGCAAGAAAGCAUUAAACAAAAGUGCAGUAGAACUAAAUAGGAAAACAUGCAUGCUAUCAGACAAUUGAGGGAUUCAAGCCAAGGCUACCCUUCAACAUGUUCAAAAGUUGAAUUGCCAUGGUACACAUACAAUGUACAUGUAUGAUCAUCAUGUAGCAUGAACCAUCAAUGGCUGUUAAACUUGUCACAUUGACACAGACACUGCCACAACACUAAUUAAUUGAUACAUGUACAAAUGUGUAUAUACUAGCAUGACUAUAGUAAUAUAUAUUUGAUAAUAUCCAUCUAAAAAUCAUCUGAUAAUUUAAUCAGUAUUUGAUUAAAAGUCAAAUGCUCAUGUACAUGAUGUAGGAUACAAAGAAACAUAAAUAAAGAGCAAACAAACAAUUGACCGUUCAUACAUGUAUAUAUCUGGGAGUUUUUUCUGUUUAAUUUCUAUGAAUGUAAGAAGAAGUUGAUACUUUACAUGUACAAAACAAUGUACUUGUACUUCCCAUUUUAAUCUGAUAUCCAUACUAUUAUUAAUUUUUUUUAUACAAUAACUAGUCGAAAAUUUAAAUACAGACAAAUAUUCAACGACUGAGCGAAUAAGACACAAUUUCACCAAGGUGCAUUUUCCCUGAGUAAAUUUUCAGCGUUGUAAGGUCACAAGUUGUAAAUUAAAGCUUUUCAGUAUUUGAAUUCUUUGAUUAUUUAUUCUUUUUAUUACAUCAUGUACAUGUACAUGUACAUUGGCAAAUAGCAUUUUUACAACAAAUAUUAUUCUAUUAUAAAAUGUAUGUCAUGUAUGUGUUUUUUAAUAUAUGUCCAGUUUUCACUUUAUUAUAUUUGGUAAGAAAAUUUGUAUUAUAAACUAACAAACAUCAUUUGUACAUACAUACAUGUACAAAUGAUGUACAUGUACAUUGUACUGCUACAUAUACAUUCCUUAUCUAUGUGCUAUCAAAAUGAAGAACAUUUUUGUAACAGAAAUUUAUAUUUCAUUUUUUAGAGAAACCAUCCUUGUUAAAGAUGUGACAUUAAUCCCUCCAAACCUACAAAACACAAUUGAUAAGGUAAGUUGCAGAUUAUCUGAGAUAUUUUUGAUUAUCAUCCCAAGAAAUGUAGCAUACAUGCAUGUAUUACUCUUCUUUCAUUUAUAUGAUAAUGAAGAUACAUGUAUCUUGUAAUUUGUACAGUUGUAUAUGUAUUUCUGCCAUCUGUCACUGUUAAUUUGAAUGUACAUUUGGGGUCAGGAUUGAUAGCAAUUUUGUUGUCAAUUGUUGUAGUGUCAUUGAUAAAUGAAUGAAAUAAAUGGUUGUACCUAAAAUUAUUUGAAACAUGUCUGAACUUAACUUAUAUAUAGAUACAAAUUACAUUGUACUAUAACCAAUUUUUAUUUACAUUUGUAUAUCUAUAUGUACAUGUACAUGAUCAAUGUAUCAAUGAUGACAAGGAACUUUUUAAUUAAAUUUCAGAGAUGCUAAUUAACCUUGUUAAUGACUGUGGAGAACUUAUGCUACAUUUACCUAAUACACAGACAAACACAAAUGGGCAUACAUGUAGGUAAUAAAUAGAGCAGUUUUCUAAGAUACAUGUUCAUGUUUAUUGUUAUAUCAUGUAUAUUAUGCCUUGUCUUUAAAAAAUAUAGAUAUGAAACAUGAAACACAUAUGUACAUGUUCCAUGUUUACAUGUAUUAGAGAGUUAUCUAACCUGUUUAAAAGCUGAUAACUACUUAGUACUAUCAAAAUUUUAGUCUAUUUGUUUCUCUAUUUGUCCAUGAUUUAUCUUAUAAUGGAUAGAGUUUGAAAAUUAAAUCUAUAAAGUUGGAUAAAAUAUUCAUAAUGCUUGCAUUGGUACAAAGCCAUUUUGAAAAUAAGAAGAUGUGGUAUGAUUGCCAAUAUGAAAAACUCUCCCCAAUACAUGUACUUCACAUGACAUAUAAAGGAACCACUUUAAGUCACCAUACAACCUUACACAAUAAGACAAACCCAUACUACAUAAUCAGCUAUAAAUUUUAAACAAUUCAAAGGAGAAGACUAAAUACAACUACUGAAUUAUUGGUUAUACAGCAUUAAAAUACAACUACUGAAUUACUGGUUCCUGACUUGGGACAGGCACAUACAGAAAUGUGGCAGGGAUAAACUAGAUUGAACUUUAUUAAAAAAUUACUCCAUUAUCAAACUAAAAAUGCCUAUUACUAAGUGAACUCAGAUUACUCUGCUGUUUACAUAUUUGUUAAACUAUAAUUUGCUUCUUGUAGAAAUUAGCCUGUGAGAUCAAGAUGCAGAUAUAUCCACCAGAUACCAAAUGCCACACCAAAGCAGACAUUUUCAAAUGUUGAGAGACCUAUGAAUACAUCUACAUCCUUCUUCGGACUUUGAAACAACUGAUU
rnacentral:lncRNA from 1 species